rnacentral:rRNA from 1 species
UACAGAGGGUGCGAGCGUUUAUCGGAAUUACUGGGCGUAAAGAGCGCGUAGGCGGUCGUGUAAGUCAGAUGUGAAAGACCUUGGCUCAACCAGGGAACUGCAUUUGAUACUGCAUAGCUAGAGUAUGGUAGAGGAAAGUGGAAUUUCCGGUGUAGCGGUGAAAUGCGUAGAUACCGGAAGGAACACCAGUGGCGAAGGCGACUUUCUGGACCAAUACUGACGCUGAGGCGCGAAAGCGUGGGGAGCAAACAGG